rnacentral:rRNA from 1 species
UCGGGAAUUUUGGGCAAUGGGCGAAAGCCUGACCCAGCAACGCCGCGUGAAGGAUGAAAUCCCUCGGGAUGUAAACUUCGCAAGAACGGGAAGAAUAAGUAAGAGUUAAUAUCUCUUACGAUGACGGUACUGUUUGUAAGCUCCGGCUAACUCCGUGCCAGCAGCCGCGGUAAUACGGGGGGAGCAAGCGUUGUUCGGAUUUACUGGGCGUAAAGGGCGCGUAGGCGGCCACUGCAAGUCGACUGUGAAAUCUCCGGGCUUAACCCGGAAAGGUCAGCCGAUACUGCAGGGCUAGAGUGCAGAAGGGGCAACUGGAAUUCUCGGUGUAGCGGUGAAAUGCGUAGAUAUCGAGAGGAACACCUGCGGCGAAGGCGGGUUGCUGGGCUGACACUGACGCUGAGGCGCGAAAGCUAGGGGAGCGAACGGG